UACGUAGGGGGCAAGCGUUGUCCGGAAUCAUUGGGCGUAGAGAGCGUGUAGGCGGCCCGGUAAGUCCGCUGUGAAAGUCCAGGGCUCAACCCUGGGAUGCCGGUGGAUACUGUCGGGCUCGAGUCCGGAAGAGGAGUGUGGAAUUCCUGGUGUAGCGGUGAAAUGCGCAGAUAUCAGGAGGAACACCAAUAGCGAAGGCAGCUCGCUGGGACGUUACUGACACUGAGGCGCGAAAGCGUGGGGAGCGAACAGG
rnacentral:rRNA from 1 species